GUUUCAUUUUGUGUACGUUGGUGCCUUGCUCAGCAGAUGAAAACUUCACCGCGGCGCGAUUUCACCGACCAAUGAGAUUAUAUUAUUUGGCGCAUGCGCGUUAUAUGUAUAGCUUCAAGAGAUUGUCCCGGUAUAAAAUGUUCAUUAUAA